rnacentral:rRNA from 1 species
AGUGAACGCUGGCGGUAGGCCUAACACAUGCAAGUCGAACGGCAGCACAGAGGAGCUUGCUCCUUGGGUGGCGAGUGGCGGACGGGUGAGGAAUACAUCGGAAUCUACUCUGUCGUGGGGGAUAACGUAGGGAAACUUACGCUAAUACCGCAUUCGACCUACGGGUGAAAGCAGGGGAUCUUCGGACCUUGCGCGAUUGAAUGAGCUGGUGUCGGAUUAGCUAGUUGGCGGGGUAAAGGCCCACCAAGGCGACGACCCGUAGCGGGCCUGAGAGGAUGAUCAGCCACACUGGAAGUGAGACACGGUCCAGACUCCUACGGGAGGCAGCAGUGGGGAAUAUUGGACAAUGGGCGCAAGCCUGAUCCAGCCAUACCGCGUGGGUGAAGAAGGCCUUCGGGUUGUAAAGCCCUUUUGUUGGGAAAGAAAUCCAUCUGGUUAAUACCCGGGUGGGAUGACGGUACCCAAAGAAUAAGCACCGGCUAACUUCGUGCCAGCAGCCGCAGUAA